GAUGAACGCUGACCGAAUGCUUAACACAUGCAAGUCAACUUGAACUUCGGUUUGGGUGGCGGACGGGUGAGUAACGCGUAAAGAACUUGCCUCACAGCUAGGGACAACAUUUGGAAACGAAUGCUAAUACCUGAUAUUAUGAUUAUAUGGCAUCGUAUAAUUAUGAAAGCUAUAUGCGCUGUGAGAGAGCUUUGCGUCCCAUUAGCUAGUUGGAGAGGUAACAGCUCACCAAGGCGAUGAUGGGUAGCCGGCCUGAGAGGGUGAUCGGCCACAAGGGGACUGAGACACGGCCCUUACUCCUACGGGAGGCAGCAGUGGGGAAUAUUGGACAAUGGACCGAGAGUCUGAUCCAGCAAUUCUGUGUGCACGAUGAAGUUUUUCGGAAUGUAAAGUGCUUUCAGUUGGGAAGAAAAAAAUGACGGUACCAACAGAAGAAGUGACGGCUAAAUACGUG
rnacentral:rRNA from 1 species